GACGAACGCUGGCGGCGCGCCUAACACAUGCAAGUCGAACGAGCGAGAGAGAGCUUGCUUUCUCAAGCGAGUGGCGAACGGGUGAGUAACGCGUGAGGAACCUGCCUCAAAGAGGGGGACAACAGUUGGAAACGACUGCUAAUACCGCAUAAGCCCACGUCUCGGCAUCGAGCAGCGGGAAAAGGAGUGAUCCGGUUUGAGAUGGCCUCGCGUCCGAUUAGCUAGUUGGUGAGGUAACGGCCCACCAAGGCGACGAUCGGUAGCCGGACUGAGAGGUUGAACGGCCACAUUGGGACUGAGACACGGCCCAGACUCCUACGGGAGGCAGCAGUGGGGAAUAUUGCACAAUGGGGGAAACCCUGAUGCAGCGACGCCGCGUGGAGGAAGAAGGUCUUCGGAUUGUAAACUCCUGUUGUUGAGGAAGAUAAUGACGGUACUCAACAAGGAAGUGACGGCUAACUACGUGCCAGCCGCCGCCGUAA
rnacentral:rRNA from 1 species